GGAGAGGAAAGGAGGGCGUGGCUUCCUGCAUUUGGCGGGAUCUGUGUCUCUCGCUGGUGCUGGCACAGGAGCUUGGGAUCUGUCUCCUCUUUCGCCUCCUGCACCUUGAGAGCCCUGGGCUACUCUGUCACAGCCCCUGUUGCCCUGCGAUCUGUAGGUCCUUGGGGACGCAUAGUUAAGGUGCCAGGACAUCCUGGAAGCUGGGAAAUGAUUUCUUCCAGACCAUGGCUGGAGAAGGAAAGAAGGUGUGUUUUGCCUGAUUCAGGGACUAUAGAGAGAACCAAGUUCUGCAGGCCUGUCAUCUAAGUCUCAGGGCGGGGAGACCUUCCUUCCCCACGGGUUUGAGGCUAUGGCUAAGUGGUGAGCCUUGGUGAGACGCAGAAAGGAUCCAUCCCAGGCACUUGGCUAGAGCUUUUGCAUAUGCAGAAGAAGAAUUGGAUGAAAUUCAGCCUUGAUUAUGAUGAAAACUCUCAACAAGUUAGGAAUAGAAGGUCCUGUAGCUUUUUCUUUUGAGACGGAGUUUUGCUCUGUUGCCCAGGCUGGAGUGCAGUGGUGCAAUCUUGGCUCCCUGCAAGCUCCGCCUCCCGGAUUCACGCCAUUCUCCUGCCUCAGAUUCCCCAGCAGCUGGGAAUUCAGGCACCCGCCACCAUGCCCGGCUAUUUUUAUUUUUAUUUGUUUAUUUUUUUUAGUAGAGACAGGGUUUCACUGUGUUAGCCAGGAUGGUCUCAAUCUCCUGACCUCGUUGAUCCACCCACCUCGGCCUCCCAAAUUGCUAGGAUUACAGGCGUGAGCCACCGCUCCUGGCCGGUCCUGUAGCUAUUAUUUCCUGUUUUUCUCUCUUGUUCUCUUUCUUAGCAUAUUAUUGAUUUUUAUAGUGACAUGUUUUACUUCUUUUCUCACUACUCUCUCUGUGUGUAUGUCUUUGUGUGUGUGUACUAUAGGUAUUUCCUUUUUUUUUUUUUUUUUGACAGGGUCUUGCUCUGUCGCCCAGGCUGGAGGGCAGUGGCACAAUAUCUGCUUAUUGCAAGCUCUGCCUCUCAGGCUCAACUCAAACAAUCCUCCCACCACAGCCUUCUGAGUACCUGGGACCACAGAUGUGCACCAGUACUCCUGGCUAAUUUUUGUUAUUUUUCAUAGAGACAGGGUUUUGCCAUGUUGCCCAGACUAGUCUCAAAAUCCUAAGUACUAUAGGUAUUUUCUUUGUUGUUACUAUAGAUAUUACCAAAAAUAACUACUAUAGCAUAUAAAACCCUGCCUCUUUAUGGCUGCCUAUGUGUUUUAUUGAUGUCGCGAAUUACAUCAUUUUGUAUUGUGAAUCUAUUGGCACAGUUAUAUAGUCAUUUUUAAGUCUUUGUUAUCUCAACUACAUAGCAGAAUUAAAAGUAUUCUGUGCAUCUUCAUUAUAAUAACAAAAAUAUUAUAAUUGUGUACAUAAUUAUCUGUUAGAAAACUUUAUAUUUUACAUAAUUCUAUGUUGCUCUCAUCAUUAUUUUAUUUUUUAAUGUCAAUGACUAGCAUUUUUUUAUACAGGCCUACCGUGCAUAAAUUAAUACAGUUUUCGUUGAUCUUGAAUAUUCUUUAUUUUUAUUUUUUAAUUCAUUUGAAAUGAUAGCUUUGGCAGACAUAGUGUUCUUGGUUGGUACUUGCCAUUUUUUUCAGCACUUUGAGUAUGUCAUCCUACAACCUCUUGCCUGCAUGCUAUUGGCUGAGACAUCUGCUGGUCAUCCUAUAGGGGUAACAUUGUACAUGCUAAGUCAUUUUUUCUUGCUGACUUCAAGAUUCUCGGUGUUUUAACAUUUGAAUCUCUGAUUAAAAUGUGUCUUGUCAUGGGUCUCCCUGUGUUGCUACUAGUUGGUAAAGUUUCAUUAAAUUUUAGGCCAUUUUCUCCCUCAAAUUUUGAGAGUUCUCAGCCACUGUUUGUUUCUUGAAAUAACUUUGCUGCUCUCUUUUCUCUCUUUUUAUUUUAGAAUUCCCAUUAGAAGUAUAUUGGCCAUCUUAAUGGUAUCCCAUAAGUCCCUUAGGCUUUCUUAAUUUUUAAAAUUAUUUUUACCCUCCUCACCAUAUAAUUUCAAAAGACUUCUUAUGAAGCUUGCUGGAUUUUUUCCUGCUAGAUCAAACCAGUUGUUGGACCUUCUAGUGAAUCUCUAAAUUCAGGUAUUUUAUUUUUCAGCUCCACACUUUAUGUUUCUAUUUUGUACUUUUAAUCACUUCAUUGAUAAUCUCAUUAUCUUCAUGAAUUGUUUUCUUUUUCUGUUUAGCUUUCUAUGUUCUUCUUUAGCUGAAUGAGCAUCUUUAAGCUAGGUGUUUUAGCCAGGCACAUUGAUAUGUGUGUCUAAUUCCAGCUACUUUGAAAGCUAAGGCAAGGGGAUUACUGUAUUAAUAAAUUCUCAUGCAGCUAAUAAAGACAUAACCAAGACUGGAUAAUUCAUAAUGAAAAAGGUUAAUGGCCUCACAGUUUCACAUGGCUGGGGAGGUCUCACAAUUAUUGGAGCAAACAAGAGACUUUGUUCAGGGGAAUCUCCACUUAUAAAACCAUCAGAUCACGUGAGACUUUUUUGCUAUCAUGAGAACAGCAUGGGAAAAUCCCACCCCCAUGAUUCAAUUACCUCCCACAGGGUCCCUCCCAGGACAUGUGGAGAUUAUUACAAUUCAAGAUGAGAUUUGGUUGGGGACAGAGAGCCAAACCAUAUCAAUUACUUAAGGCUAGGAGUUUCAGACCACCCUGGGCAAUAUUGUGAGAAGCUAUAUGUAAAAAAUAUUUUUACAGAUUAAUCAUGAAUGGUGGAAUGUUCCUGUAGUCUCAGGAAGUUGGAGGCUGAUGUAAGAUUAUUCCUUGAGUUCCCAGGAAUUUGAGGCUGCAUUGAGUUAUAACCAUGAUAUUGUAUUCCUGUCUGGGUGAGAGAGUAAGACCGCCUUUUAGAAUUUCAAAUUUGUUUUAGAUUUAGGAGGUACCUACACAGGUUUUUUACAUGGGUAUUUUGUAUAGUGCUGAGGUUUGAAAUAUAAGUAAUUCCAUCACUUAUGCAGUGAGCAUAGUACUAAAUAGACAGUUUUUCAGUUCUUGAUCCCUCCCUCUCUCCACCCUCUAAGAGUUGUCUUUUAUUUUUAUUUUUAUGUCCAUGUGUACCCAGUGUUAAUUUCCAUUUAUAAGUGAGAACAUCAGUAUUUUUGUUUUCCAUUUCUGCAUUAAUUUGAUUGUAGAAUGACCUUUAGUUGUAUUAAUGUUGCUGCAAAGGACAAGUUUUUUUUUUGUUGUUGUUGUUUUUGCUAAGUAGUAUUGCUGUACAUGUGACACUUUUUAAAUUCAAUUUAGCAUUAAUAGGCUGGACACGGUGGCUGAUGCCUGUAAUCCCAGCACUGUGGGAGGCCAAGGUGAGUGGAUCAUGAGGUCAGGAGAUCGAGACCAUCCUGGACAGCAUAAUGAAACCCCCGUCUCUACUGAAAAUACAAAAGUUAGCCGGACGUGUUGUCAUGAGCCUGUAGUCCCAGCUACUCGGGUGGCUGAGGCAGGAGAAUUGCUUGAACCUGGGAGGUGGAGGUUGUAGUGAGCUGAGAUAGUGCCACUGCACUCCAGCCUGGGCAACAGAGUGAGACUUCAUCUCAAAAAAAAAAAAAUACCAUUAAUAGUCACGUAGGUUGAUUCAUGUCUUUCCUGUUAUAAAUAAUGCAGUGAUGAACCAACAAGUGCAUGUGCUGUUUUGGUAGAAUAGUUUAUUCUCUUCUGGGUAUACACCCAGCGGUGAAAUUCUGCGUUGAAUCAUAGUUCAACUCUCAGUUAUUUGGAAAAUCUCCAAGCUGCUCUCCACAGUGGCUGAACUAAUUUAUAUUCCUAUAAACAGUGUAUAAGUGGUUUUUUCCCUCUAAAACCCCACCAAUAUCUACUAUCAUUUUACUUUUUAACAAAAGCCAUUCUAACUGGUGUACGAUGGUGUCUUACUGUGGUUUUUAUUUACAUUUCCUUGAUGGUUAGUGAUAAGCUUUUUUCAUGUUGUUUGGCCACUUGUAUGUAUUCUUUUGAACAUUGUCUGUUAUUGCCCACUUUUUCAUGGGGUAAUUUUUUGCUUGUGAAUUCUUUAAGUUUCUUAUAGAUUCUGAGUAUUAGAUUUUGUCAGGUUUAUAGGUUGUGAAUAUUUUUGCCAUUCUGCCAGCUUUGGGGUUAGUUUGUUUUUGUUUUUCUAGUUUCUCUAAGUGUGAUGUUAAAUUGUUAGUUUGAGAUCAUUCUAACUUCUUGAUGCAGAUAUUUAGCACUCUCAACUUUCCUCUUAACAGAGCUUUUCCUACAACCCAGACAUUUUAGUAUAUUGUGUCUCUUCAUUUAUUUCAAAUUUUUUUUAAGUUUCUGCCUCAAUUUUGUUGUUUACCCAAAAUUCAUUCAGGAGCAAGUUGUUUAAUUUCAAUGCCAUUCUGUGAUUUUGUGAGAUUUUGUUGGUAUUGAUAUUUAUCUUUUUUCCAUUGUGGCCUGACAGUAUGGUUGGCAUAAUUUUCAUUUUUAAAAAAUGUAUGGAUAAUUGCUUUAUGGCUAGGAAGUGGUCAAUCCUAGAGUAUAUUCUGUGAGCGAUGAGAAGAAUUUAUGUUCCUUAGAUGAUGUGUGGUGUAUACUAUAAAUGUCUAUUAGUUUCAAUUGAUCAAGUGCGAAAUCAAACUCCAGAAUUUCUUUGUUAAGUUUCUGCCUAGAUAAUCUGACAAACACUGUUAUUGGGGAGUUGCGUUUCCCUACUAUUAUUGCGUGGCUACUUGAGUCUUAUUGUAGGUCUAGCAGUACUUGUUGUAUAACUCUAUGUUCCCCAAAGUUGGGUGCAUCUAUAUUUAGGAUAGUUAAGUCUUCUUGUUGAAUUGAACUCUCUAUCGUUAUGCAAUGCCUUUCUUUGUUUUAUUUUACUAUUAAUGAUUUAAAGUCCUUUUUUCUUAAAAGAGAAACAAUUCCAGGUAUGGUGGCUCAUGCCAGCACUUUCAGACUGAGGCAGUAGGAUUGCCUGAGACCAGGAGUUUGAGACCAGCCGAGGCAACAUAACAACAUUCUGUUUGUACAGAUUCUUUUAAAGAAACUAUACAGGUGUGGUAGUGUGCCCAACUGUGGUCAUAUUUACUCAGGAGACAUAGGAGGCAUGACUGCUUUACUUCAGAAAUUUGAGGUUACAGUGAGCUGUGAUUGCACCACUGCAAUCUGUCCCAGGAGAUAGAGUAAGAUCCUGUGUAUAAAAUGAAAAAAUAAAGAAAAAUAAAAUGAUUUUAAGUUAAAAAAUAAUUCAUAGAUCUCCACUUCUUUAGGGUCACUUGAAUAUAUAUUUUUCUCGUUUCAUUAGGCUAUAUUUCCUGGUUGCUUUUAUGUACUGUGGUUUUGUUAAGGUUUUGGUCAAUUAAGAAACCACUACCUAUUUUAUCCUUUAUGAAAAAGCUUUGUACAUGGGAAAAUUGACAAUAUUCAGCCACACUAGUCAUUCCGGGAGCUUCUCCAAUCUGUUGUCAAAAUGUGUCUUCUUUGUACUGUAUGUAUUUUCUUGUUAAUAAGGUUUACCUCUCUUUCCUCUUAGGAGCCUUUAGUCUCUUCUCUUUGUCACUGUUGCAGGCACUACAGUCUCUUUGUUGUAAGAAAUAUUUAUCUUUAUUCUCAGUCGACCCAAGCUGUCAUUUAAACUCUAUCUCUAUUCUGGUCAACACUAAAUGUUAAAGGUAUAAAUCAAUAAGUCAGAAGUUUGCAUACACGUUUCACUCUGUUUUCUUUCCCGAGGGAGAAUCAUGGAAUGGACAGAAUUUUAUCUAACUGCACUGUUCUUUAGUGCAGAAAUGUAACCAAAUUUUCUUUCUUCUAAAUGUGGUUAUGGUUGGCUUUUUUCUCAUGAGGGGUGCUACAAACUCAACUGGCUUUGCUCACCCAAUUGCAGUUAAGUUCAUACAUCCAUUGAGAGAAACAGGAUCUCAGGUUCUUCUUCAACUAUCAUUGUGUUCUCAGCUGGCCUCAUUUUGUUCAUUAGAUUUAUAAAAUAUAUUUACCUUAAUUUCAUCACCGAAUUUUUUAAAAAAUUAUUAUUUUCCAGCUCUUUUAGCAUUAUAUCCAACAAGACCCAGACAAAACAGUACAUAGGAGCUUCUUUUCAAAAAGUAAUAUUGGGAAGAUAUGGGAGCUCUGGCCUUGAAAAUUUACACUUAAGGAGAGUGGGAAAUUGAAGGAUAAGUGUAAAGGGUACAAAGGAUGCUAUGAUGAAUAUACCAGAUAUAGAGCAACUACCUACAGCAAAAAUGUCACUGCUAGAAGAGCUCAAAACCAUAAAGUAUUUUGGAAAAAGCAUAAUUAAUGUUGAUUCUUUUUUCUGAACUAUAUAUUUGUAUAAUUACAUAUCAAUAACAAUUUUUGAAACAUCAUGUUUUUGAAACAAAAUUUAGAAAAUCGCAAUAGUGGCCUAGGCCAGGAAUAUAUCUUCUAAUGCUAUCCCUCCCAUAGUCCCCCACUUCCUGACAGGCUCCAGUGUGUGGUGUUCCCCUUCCUGUGUCCCUGUGUUCUCUUUGUUUAACUCCCAACUAUGAGAGAGAACAUGUGAUGUUUGCUUUUCUACUCUUGUGUUAGUUUGCUGAGAAUGGUGGUUUCCAGCUUCAUCCAUGUCCCUGCAAAGGACAUGAACUCAUCCUUUUUAUGACUGCAUUGUAUUCCAUGAUGUAUACAUGCCACAUUUUCUUUAUUCAUUCUACCACUGAUGGGCAUUUGGUUUGGUUCAAAGUUUUUGCUCUUGUGCACAGUGCCAUAAUAAACAUAUGUUUGCAUGUGUCUAAGUAGUAGAAUAAUUUAUAAUCAUUUGGUUAUAUACCCAGUAAUGGGAUUGCUGGAUCAAAUGGUAUUUCUCAUUGUAGAUCCUUGAGGAAUUGCCAUACUGUCUUCCACAAUGGUUGAACUAAUUUACACUCUCACCAACAGUGUAAAAGUGUUCCUAUUUCUCCACAUCCUCUCCAGCAUCUGUUGUUUCCUGAUUUUUCCAAUGAUCACCAUUCUAACUGGAGUGAGAUGGUUUCUCACUGUGUUUUUGAUUUGCAUUUAUCUAAUGACCAGUGAUGAUGAGUUUUUUUUUCAUAUGUUUGUUGGCUGCAUAAAUGUCUUCUUUUCAGAAGUGUCUGUUCAUGUCCUUUGCCCAUUUUUGAUAUGGUUGUUUGUUUUUUUCUUGUAAAUUUGCUUAAGUUUUUUGUAGAUUCUGCAUAUUAGCCCAUUGUCAGAUGGAUAGAUUGCAUAAAUUUUCUCCUUUCUGUGGGUUGCCUGUUCACUCUGAUGAUAGUUUCUUUUGUUGUGAAGAAGCUCUUUACUUUAAUUACAUCUCGUUUGUCAAUUUUGGCUUUUGUUGCCAUUGUUUUUGCUGUUUUAUUCAUGAAGUCUUUGCCCACGCCUAUGUCCUGAAUGGUAAUGCCUUUGUUUUUUGGGGGGUUUUUAUGGUUUUAAGUCUUACAUUUAAGUCUUUAAUCCAUCUUCAGUUAAUUUUUGUAUAACUAGUAAGGAAGACGUCCAGUUUCAUUUUUUUGCAUAUGGCUAUCUAGUUUUCCCAACACCAUUUAUUAAAUAAGGAAUCCUUUCCCCAUUACUUGUUUUUGUCAGGUUCAUCAAAGAUCAGAUGGUUGUAGAUGUUUGAUGUUAUUUCUGGGGCCUCUGUUCUGUUCCAUUUGUCAAUAUAUCUGUUUUGGUACCAGUACCAUACUGUCUUGGUUACUGUGGCCUUUUAGUAUAGUUUGAAGAUAGCUAGUGUGAUGCCUCCACUUUUGUUCUUUUUGCUUAGGAUUGUCUUGUCUAUGCAGGAUCUUUUUUGAUUCCAUAUGAAAUUUAAAGUAGUUUUUUUUCUAAUUAUGUAAAGAAAGUCAGUGGGAGCUUGAUGGGGAUAACACUGAAUUUAUAAAUUACUUUGGGCAGUAUGGCCAUUUUCACAAUAUUGAUUCUUCCUAUCCAUGAGCACGGAUUGUUUUUCAUUUGUUUGUGUCCUCUCUUAUUUCCUUGAGCAGUGGUUUGUAGAUCUCCUUGAAGAAGUCCUUCCCAUCCCUUUUAAGUUGGAUUCCUAGGUAUUUUAUUCUCUUUGUAACAAUUGUGAAUGAGAGUUCAUGCAUGAUUUGGCUCUCUGUUUGUCUAUUAUUGUGUAUAGGAAUUCUUGUGAUUUUUGAACACUGAUUUUGUAUACUGAGACUUUUUUGAAGUUGCAUAUUGGUUUAAGGAGAUUUUGGGCUGAGACGAUGGGGUUUUCUAAAUAUACAAUCAUGUCAGCUGCAAACAGAGACAACUUGAGUUCCUCUUCCUAUUUGAUUACGCUUUGUUUCUUUCUCUUGACUGAUUGCUCUGGCCAGAACUUCCAAUACUAUAUUGAAUAGGAGUGAUGAGAGAGGGUAUUCUUGUUUUGUGCAGAUUUUCAAAAGGAAUGUUUCAAGUUUUUUCCCAUUCAGUAUAUUGGCUGUGCGUUUGUCAUAAAUAGCUCUUAGUAUGUUGAGAUAAGUUCCAUGAAUACAUAAUUCAUUGAGAGUUUUUACCAUGAAGAGGUGUUGAAUUUUGCUGAAGGCCUUUUUUGCAUCUAUUGAGAUAAUCAUGUGGUUUUUGUCAUUAGUUCUGUUUAUGUGAUGGAAUACAUUUAUUGAUUUGCAUAUGUUGAACAAGCUUUGCAUCCGAGGGAUUAAGCUGACUAGAUCGUGGUGGAUAAGCUUUUUGAUGUGCUGCUGGAUUCGGUUUGCCAGUAUUUUAUUGAGGAUUUUCGCAUCGAUAUUCAUCAGGGAUACGGGCCUGAAAUUUUCUUUUUCUGGUGUGUCUUUGCCAAGUUUUGGUUUCAGGAUGAUGCUGGAUGCAUAAAAUGAGUUAAGGAGGAGUACCUCUUUUCUAUUGUUUGAAAUAGUUUCAGAAGGAAUGGUACCAGCUCCUCUUUGUACCUUUGGUAGAAUUCGGCUGUGAAUCCUUCUGGUUCUGGACUUCUUUUGGUUGGUAGGCUAUUAGUUACUGCCUCAAUUUUAGAACUUGUUAUUGGCAUAUUCAGGCAUUCGACUUCUUACUGGUUUGGACUUGGGAGGGUAUAUGUGUCCAGGAAUUUAUCCAUUUCGUCUAGAUUUUCUAGUUAAUUUGCAAAGAGUUUUUUAUAAUAUUCUCUAAUGGUAAUUUUUAUUUCUGUGGAUCAAUGGUUAUAUCCCCUUUAUCAUUUCCUAUUGCAUGUAUUUGAUUCUUCUCUUCUUCCUUAUUACUCUGGCUAGCAGUUUAUUUAUUUCUUGAUCUUUUCAAAAAAACAGCUCCUGGAUUCGUUGAUUUUUUGGACGGGCUUUUUGUGUGUCUAUCUCCUUCAGUUCUGCUGUGAUCUUAAUUAUUUCUUGUCUUCUGCUAGCUUUUGAAUUUGUUUGCUCUUGCUUCCCUAGAUUUUUAAUUGUGAUAUUAUGAUGCCGAUUUUAGACCUUUUCUGCUUUCUCUUGUGGGCAUUUAGUGCCAUAAAUUUCCCUUUGCACACUACUUUAGCUGUGUCAUAUUUUAAUUUUUAAGCCCUCAAUCUUUCUUUUUCAUCAUGACAGUCUUGACUGUUUUAUGUUUAUGAAAACUGUAAAAUUGUUUACACAGUUUUUACAAAGACUUUACCAAAAGAUUUUAUUGAGAAUGUACAAACCUGUCAGUCAAUUAGGGGAGAAGUUGCAUUGUAGUAAUAAAUAGCCACAAAACAAAACCCUGAAGGACAUCCAAACCAGAAUAAAACAAAACAUUUUAACAAAGAGAAAAAGAACAAUCUCGCAACAAAUAUGUGCAGUUUAUAUCACAAAGAUGUUCACAUCUCCACUUUAAAGAGAGCUUUUAGAAGUUGAUUUAAAAUAUGGGAAAAGACAUUAUCCCACACCACAGAAAAAAUAAAUUUAAGCAGCUCUUAACACAUGAACGUAUUAUCAAGCUCAGAUGGAAUCAAAAUUAAAUAUUUGACAACAGAUUCUACAGUUUGAGAGAAAUAGAAAAGUGUUUUUUUCUUUUCUCCAGGUCCACAAGUCUAGUUUCUUGGACUCUCUCACUAUAAUGGAGGUUGUCAUCAGCUCCCCAAAAUAAGGGAAGCACAGAGCAGAUGGUGGCUGAAGGUGGGGAAUCCUGUGAAAUCAUAUUUAAGAUCAUAGCCCGUGGUCCAUUGUAUUGUAAUCAGCUGGCUCAGGAAAGAAGAUCUGGAUCUCCUGAGCUCUACACCUACUGCAAUGGAUAUGUCAGGAGUCCCGAGAACCUCUGGGGCCCAAACCCCUCCCACCAAAAUAUAUCAUCCAGUAUUGAGGACUCUGACACCAAAUUCUCACAGAGCAUAUGCUUAUGCAAUUUUACAUUUAAUUUCUCAUUACAUUACAAUUGGGAAAAUGAGGCCCCAAAAGAGGCAGGGACUGAUCCAGAUCUCAGGAGGUGGGCAGGCUCCAGAGCAUUAGAGAGAGCUCCAGCUUCCUAGGCCUUGGCUCCAUCCCACCUAUCAGGUUUGCUUUGGAAGUUAGAGCCUGUAGCUUCACAUUCAGGGGCACAGAGAAUGAGCAGAUCCAGGGUUCUGUUCACAUGGGGACCUCUCCAUGUCAAUUUCAAGAUGACAGGACUGGGGUUUUGCAUCCAGCUCUGAGGGCACCUGGAAGUAAAAUGAGCUAUGCUCCACCUCAGCGUAAUGUAGAGAAUGCCUGCAGGAAAGCCUGUUUUCUUCCUCAUAAAUAGGGCUGUUUGAACUGGGUGACCUCGACGAUUUCACAUACUCAUAAGUGUCUUCCAGCCCUGAUUCUUGCUCUGAGACUGUGCAGAAAUGCAUCCACUCUCUGUAGGUCCUUCAAAUCAGAGGGAGGCAUGGCCACUUCAGAGGCAUCUUGGGUAGAUGAAGAUGAGACGGAGCUAAAUGUUCCAGAGCAUUGGACUCUGAGGCUGAAGUCCACGGAAAAUCCCAGCUCCUGUUGGGUUCUUAAGGUCCUCAUUUGAAAGUGGUAGAAACUAAUUUCACUGGAUAAGGGGAGGAUAUCUCAUGGAUAAAUAGCACAACCCAAAAGGUAGAGGCAAAUAGAAGGCAAAGGGGGAUUCCAAGGUCACUCAUUGUACUUGGGGCCUUCAGAUUCUGCUACUUUAUCCCCUAGGACCUUGAAGAACCAGUGUCUUGAGGACAGAAAAAUCAAGAUACCUGAUUUGUUCCAUAGUGCUCCUGCAUUGGGCCAUAGAGUUAGUGAUGGCCUGGAGGUGGUUACAGCCAGCUCUGUUUCUGGUGCCCACUGAGCUUUGCUGGAGCAGCUGGAACAAGUAAGAGUCACACAUCUCAUGUUGUUAUCAAUGAUCUCCACAUUAUCAGGUGGUCAAAAGAGGAAGGGAUAUUAGAGAUCCUCCAUAUAAUCACUUAGCCAGUCUUUUUUCCCUUGCGCUCACCCUUUGCCAGCUAACCAGGUGGGUGCAACGUGGUACAGAAAAUUAUUACAUGAUGCCUGCACCCCCCAACCCAGGACCAAACAUUCUGAGGACAGCUGGAUAAAAGCACUAAAGCAAGUAUAUGUGAAAGAAAAGAGGAAGGACUAUAAUAUAAAGUGGAAUGUUGAGAAGAAAAGCUGGAAAAUUAUUGCAUGGGAGGAACUAAGGCCUCAUUGUGGUGAUGUUUAAUCCAUGAUAAGGAUGACAACAGGGAGACAUCUCUGCACAAGUAUGUGUCAGGGAGAAGCCACCCUUAGUGAAGAGACUCAUAGGUGUGAGUUCGGCAGAGGUUAGAAAGUUUGGCUGCAGACAGCCUGAGGAAGAUAUAAGUAGAGGGAUGGAGAAUCCUAGGGCCUGGGAGAUGAGGUUAGAUAUCUGCUCCUUUCUGACAACAUUGCCCUAAAAGUCAGCACUUUUCAACAACAUAUAAUAUCUCAUAAUUUAUGUGGACCAGAAUCUGGACACAGUUCAGUUGGGUACCUCUGCCUUUAGGUCUUUUAUGACAUUGGGACUGUGGUCUUAACUGAAGCUGGACUGGGAAAGCAUGAGCCUUUAAGCUGACUCAUGUGAAAAUUGGCAGGGUUUAGUGUGGCUGGAGAGCCUGACUUUCCUUCUCUCUACUGGUCUGAGCACCCCCUCAGGCUCUGUUAUGUUGGUCUUUACAUGGAGCAUCUCAUAGCAUUGAAGCUUGCUUCCUGUGUUUGAGGUAUACAAUAGAGAGAGAGAAUUAGACAAAAAGGUGUACACAAAAAGAGACAGAGAAAGAUUGAGGGCGCAAACAGGAAAAACCCAGUAGGAGAAAAAUGAGAGCUUUAGAAAAAUCUUGACAGGGUGCGGUGGCUCACACCUGUAAUCCCAACACUUUGGGAUGCUGAGACGGGUGGAUCACCUGAGGUCAGGGGUUUGAAAGCAGCCUGGACAAUAUGGUGAAACCACCGUCUCUUCUAAAAGUACAAAAUGAGCAAGGUGUGGUGGUGCAUGCCUGUAAUCCCAGCUACUUGGGAGACUGACGCAGGGGAAUCAUUUGAACCUGGGAGGCGAAGGUUCCAGCAAGCCGAGAUCACACCACUGCACUCCUGCCUGGGAUACAAGAGUGAAACUGUCUCAAAAAAAAAAAAAAGGAAACAAAAAUCUUGAGAGUUCCAAUAAUUUUUCUCCUGUAUUUAUGUUAAAAUUGUAACCCCCGUUGUAAUGCUAUACGGAUGAAAGAUGUACUUAACUCCUGAGGGUGGGACCUUCAUAAUAGAGAUUACUGGCUUUAUACAAGGAACCGCAGAGGGCUCUCUUCCUCCUUCUGCAAAAUGAUGGUAAAACUUGAAGUCUGCAGUCUGAAAUUCAGAAGCGAGUCAUCACCAGAGCUCAACCGUGCUGACAACCUGAUCUCAAAUUUCGAACCUAUAGAAGUAUGAGAAAUUAAGUCCUGUUGUCUAUAAGCUGCUUAUCUAUGGUUCUUUGGCAUAGCAGCCUGAACUAAUACAAAAGUGAUAUCCUUUUCUGUAUUUCAUUGGACAGAAGCUGAAUUUGUACCCCUAUGCUGUUAAAAAAAUGACUUAAAAUGGAUUUUCAGAAUGAAAGAUAGGAAAUGGCUUGUUGAAACACUAAAAUGUUAUCUGCUUAUAAGAUUUUUAAACAUUGGCUGAAAUUGUUGGAACUGAUAUGGCCAAAUGAAGUCCAUGAAGAAUCAGAUUGCAUAUGUUAGAGCCCAAAUUUCCAUUGUGUGUUUCAUACUAACUCUCCCUGAAUUUGCAUGUGACUUGAGAGGAAGCAAGAAGAGAUGACAGUAUAUGUCUCAUGACUUUCCAUAUUCCUACUUUCCUUCCAGCAAUCCCUUACAGAACCCACCUCUUAGGCCUUUUCUAAUCACUGCCUUAAAGCCAGUAUAAGAAAACAAAUUUCAGCUGGACUGCUAUCUCCUUUUUGGCCAACCUACAACAUGAUAUUUUCCUCAAAACCCAAGGGCCAUAUUACUGUCAUCAGGCUGUAGGCCAUUUUAUUCAAUAAAAAACUGAGUCACUAA